AGGGCACCACCAGGAGUGGAGCCUGCGGCUUAAUUUGACUCAACACGGGGAAACUUACCCGGCCUGGACACUGGAAGGAUUGACAGAUUGAGAGCUCUUUCUUGAUUCAGUGGGUGGUGGUGCAUGGCCGUUCUUAGUUGGUGGAGCGAUUUGUCUGGUUAAUUCCGAUAACGAACGAGACUCUAGCCUAUUAAAUAGGCUCUCGGCUUUUAAACGCCGGGAGGACUUCUUAGAGGGACAGGUGGCGGUUCAGCCGCACGAAAGAGAGCAAUAACAGGUCUGUGAUGCCCUUUGUUGUCCGGGGCCGCACGCGCGCUACACUGAAGAGAUCAGGGUGCUUUACGUUCCUGCUCCGACCGGAGUGGGGAACCCAGUGAACCUUCUUCGUGAUUGGGAUAGAAGAUUGUAAUUAUUCUUCUUGAACGAGGAAUUCCCAGUAAAUGCGAGUCAUAAGCUCGCGUUGAUUACGUCCCUGCCCUUUGUACACACCGCCCGUCGCUACUACCGAUUGAACGAUUU
rnacentral:rRNA from 1 species